CGUGCGCCGAGCUGUCGACGGCGGGGUGACCGCAGUCCAGCUGCGGGAGAAGACCGCAUCGGCGCGAGAGCUGUUCGACCUGACCGUGCGUGC
rnacentral:tRNA from 1 species